rnacentral:rRNA from 1 species
GGUCAAGUUAAAAAGAGCACUAGGAGAAUGCCUAGGCACCAAGAGGCGAUGAAGGACGUGACAAGCUGCGAAAAGCUACGAAGAGGAGCAAAUAUCUUAUGACUCGUAGAUAUCCGAAUGGGGAAACCCACCGUAAGGUAUCCUAUAGCCAAUUCAUAACUAUAGGAAGCGAACCAGGUGAACUGAAACAUCUAAGUAACCUGAGGAAAAGAAAGAAAACUCGAUUCCCAAAGUAGCGGCGAGCGAACAGGGAAGAGCCCAAAGUGUAAAAAGAGAAAAUAGCUAGUCGAAUAAUCUGGGAAGAUAAACCAAAGAAGGUAACAGUCCUGUAGACGAAAGCGAAAAUAUCCGACACAAAAGAGUACCACGGAACACGAGAAAUUCAGUGGGAACAUGGGGGGACCACCCCCUAAGGCUAAAUACUACUUGGUGACCGAUAGCGAACAAGUACCGUGAGGGAAAGGUGAAAAGAACCCCG